CACGGCGGGGGCGCGCGCCGCCCUCCUCCAGGUCCUGAGUUAAAGAACCUGACUGGCACUUCAACUCUUAGAUGUGUUGAAAGAAGUCUGUGCGGUGUAGAACAAGUACCUGGCUGGAGCAGUAACUUUUGAGCAUGUUACUCUGGCUUC